CUUCACCAAGGAAACGAUACUUUCUCCAGCAAAGUCAACAGAAAAAUAUUCCAACUAUUUUGGUGGGGGCAGCGUCCUACCUGAAAUCUUUAGGCCAUCGUUAGGUCAAAUUUCUCUAACAUAAGGCAGUACAUAUCUUCCACAGUCAUUUAUAUGUGUGUGUGUGUGCAUAUGUACCUGCUAAAAUUUUCAGAGUUGGAAUAUUAAGGAUUUAGCUGUUUUCUGUGGUAGUAGUGUUUCCAAGUUAUUGGAAUGAUUUUAAUGAUUUUAAAUGAUUUUUUUUUCUAAAUCCACAGAGCUCAGAAGUCAGUGCUAUGCAAGAAGUUGAGAAACUCUUUAGCAGAGUCUGUUGUGACAAGACAAGGGGAAAUGGUUUCAAAUUAAAAGAUGGGGAGAUUUAGAUUGGGCAGAAAGAAGUUUCUUGCAGUAAGGGUGGUGAGGCACUGGAAUAGGUUGCCCAGAAUGGUGGUGGAUUCCCCGUCCCUGGAGACGUUGAAGGUCAGGAUGCUGUGAGCAACCUGCUCUAGCUGUAGGUGUCCUUGUUCAGCGCAGGGGAGUUGGACUGGAUGACCUUUAUGGGUCCCUUCCAACUCGAAUGAUUCCAUGGCUCUAUGAUUUUAAGUAACGUGCUUUGCUCACAGUAGUUGUAACGUUCAUAAGAUCAGUCCAUGGAUUAAAAGUUGUAAAGCUGUUAAUUGAAUUCAUUCCACCACAACCUUCCUAUCAAAAUGCAGCACUCUCAUCCCAAAUGGCCUUACAAGAGUGAAAUUAACACUAGGAAAUCUAUUUAUUUAUUUUCUGAUUCUCAGAAGUAGAAGAAUCAUUUUUAUGAAAAAAAUAGAGAGAAAAAAAUCAAUCUGAGGCAAGAAGCAAGCAUGAAAUGCUUUAGCCCAACUGGAUAAAAUGAGAUAUAAGCAUCUGAAAACAGAGACUUGUCACAGAAAAUGUUAAGCAACUUUAUCUGUUUUUGUUGCUAGCAGAUCCAUCUGUUAUACACAGUAAAAAUAGUGAAACCAGAAAAGCAAACAGAGCAACAAUCAACUUUAUUUAUUGAAAUAAAGAUGCAUAAAACAGCACUUCUAUAUCAAAAUGUCCUAGAGGGAGAAAACCAAUCUCACCAGGCAAGGUUUCCCAGUACUGAAAGAACUGUGGAGGGAGUUGCUGGAGGCAAAGUACUGCUGUUCUGUAGGAAGUGAUACACCCUGAGAUACAGAGGGCAGGAGAACUUCUAAUGCGCCAGAGGCUUUCUACAAAAUAUUCCAGUCUGCAUUUUCUUUAGCAAUAUUAGAGACUGUGGUGAUUAUUUUCUUUCUUUUUUUUUUUUUUUUUUGUAAAAUGAGCAGUUCUGAAAGUGUACUGGUCACAGUGGUUUGCCCUUUCCCUCGAUUAUAAAGUGAGAAUCCAUUUUGGUGGUUAAUCAUUAAACGGAGUUCUUUGCAUUUUCAGGAACAGUCUGUUUCCUGACAGAAGCGGUGACUGAAAUGAAAUGCCAUGUAUUCAGGUGACCUUGUCUUGCAGAUAUGCUGACAGUGAUGUACUCCUUCUGUAUCUGAAACUGAAAGGAAGAAAAUCUCAACUUCACGAUUGCACUGGAGUUAGUUAUGUCACUGCAGAACCCUUGACACGUGGAGAUGAAAUAGUGAGUGCUGCUAUAAAAAAAUAAUUGUAUCUUCCAAGCACCCUUUCCUUUUAGAGGUAGCUUCCAUUUGGCCUUAAGUAGAACGUGCCUCACAUGUUUGCCUAGCUGUAUAUUUGUUUUCCAUCAGAGAUGUUGGGGUAUACUUUAGUGCUUGAGUGGAAAUCCCACUCAGCAGUAUUUGAGAAAUGCUGUGUUUGCUAUCUGACAGUUUGUGCUACUUAUCACAGAGUCUAAAAGGAUAUCAGACUUCUGAAAAUUUGUCUAAUGCAAAACUGGCUGCUUGAGAUCAAUGUCCAUAUUGCAAACUUCAUUCAUUUUGCUUUCAGAUACCAGGGAAAGUGGCUGAUUCUCUCUUAGUUUCUUAGUUUCUUUGCUUGCACCUCAGCAAAGAGGUGUAUUGUUUGCAACCAAAAGAAUAAA
ensembl:lncRNA